rnacentral:rRNA from 1 species
UGUGCCUACGGGGGGCAGCAGUCGGGAAUAUUGCGCAAUGGAGGAAACUCGGACGCAGUGACGCCGGGUAUAGGAAGAAGGUUUUCGGAUUGUAAACUAUUGUCGUUAGGGAAGAUAAAAGACAGUACCUAAGGAGGAAGCUCCGGCUAACUACGAGCCAGCAGCCGCGGGAAUACGUAGGGAGCAAGCGUUAUCAGGAUUUAUUGGGUGUAAAGGGUGCGUAGACGGGAAAUUAAGUUAGUUGUGAAAUCCCUC